rnacentral:sRNA from 1 species
CUCCUCACGUCAGCAGCCUUUCUCCUAAGGCACCCUAGGAUCAGGAGGACCCUGUCCUCCAACCCUCUAUCCCCCAUUCCCAGGCACCUGGCGUCCUCGCAGAUCAAUCGUGUUUGCGAGCUGGGGGGCUGAGGAGUUUGGGCUCAUUGGCUCCACGGAAUUCACAGAAGUGAGUGGCCCUACAGGGUAGGGGAUCGAAAGGGGUUCCCAGGACAGAACGGCGCGGGGCUGACGUCGCCCCUCGCACCCGCAGGAGUUCUUCAACAAGCUGCAGGAGCGCACGGUGGCCUACAUCAACGUGGACAUCUCGGUGUUUGCCAACGCUACCCUUAGGGUGCAGGGGACGCCCCCUGUCCAGAGUGUCGUCUUCUCUGCAACCAAAGAGAUCCGCUCACCAGGCCCUGGCGACCUGAGCAUCUACGACAACUGGAUCCGGUACUUCAACCGCAGCAGCCCGGUGUACGGCCUGGUCCCCAGAGCAAGACUUCAGCCAGGAUCUACCCCACCUACCAUACAGCCUUUGACACCUUUGACUAUGUGGACAAGUUUUUGGACCCAGGUGAGGAGGGAGACAAGGGGCAUCCUGAGACCAGGACAGGAGAGGCUGAAGACUGAGCCCUGG